rnacentral:rRNA from 1 species
GGGGAAUAUUGGACAAUGGGGGCAACCCUGAUCCAGCAAUGCCGCGUGUGUGAAGAAGGUCUUCGGAUUGUAAGCACUUUCGGCGGGGGCGAUGAUGACGGUACCCGCAGAAGAAGCCCCGGCUAACUUCGUGCCAGCAGCCGCGGUAAUACGAAGGGGGCUAGCGUUGCUCGGAAUGACUGGGCGUAAAGGGCGCGUAGGCGGUUCGGAAGGUUAGAUGUGAAAUUCCUGGGCUUAACCUGGGGGCUGCAUUUGAUACUUCCGGGCUUGAGUAUGGAAGAGGGUCGUGGAAUUCCCAGUGUAGAGGUGAAAUUCGUAGAUAUUGGGAAGAACACCGGUGGCGAAGGCGGCGACCUGGUCCAUAACUGACGCUGAGGCGCGAAAGCGUGGGGAGCAAA